AUUGAACGCUGGCGGCAUGCCUUACACAUGCAAGUCGAACGGCAGCACGGGAGCAAUCCUGGUGGCGAGUGGCGAACGGGUGAGUAAUAUAUCGGAACGUGCCCAGUAGUGGGGGAUAAAUGCUCGAAAGAGCAGCUAAUACCGCAUACGACCUGAGGGUGAAAGGGGGGGAUCGCAAGACCACUCGCUAUUGGAGCGGCCGAUAUCAGAUUAGCUAGUUGGUGGGGUAAAGGCCUACCAAGGCAACGAUCUGUAGUUGGUCUGAGAGGACGACCAGCCACACUGGGACUGAGACACGGCCCAGACUCCUACGGGAGGCAGCAGUGGGGAAUUUCGGACAAUGGGCGCAAGCCUGAUCCAGCAAUGCCGCGUGCAGGAAGAAGGCCUUCGGGUUGUAAACUGCUUUUGUCAGGGAAGAAAUCCUCUAGGUUAAUACCCUUGGGGGGAUGACGGUACCUGAAGAAUAAGCACCGGCUAACUACGUGCCAGCCGCCGCGGUAAGAC
rnacentral:rRNA from 1 species